GACGAACGCUGGCGGCGUGCUUAACACAUGCAAGUCGAACGGAAAGGCCCUGCUUUUGUGGGGGGCUCGAGUGGCGAGCGUGUGUGUAACACGUGAGUAACCUGCCCUUGACUUUGGGAUAACUUCAGGAAACUGGGUCUUAUACCGGAUAGGAGCUCCUGCUGCAUGGGGGGGGUUGGAAAGUUUCGGCGGUUGGGGAUGGACUCGCGGCUUAUCAGCUUGUUGGUGGGGUAGUGGCUUACCAAGGCUUUGACGGGUAGCCGGCCUGAGAGGGUGACCGGCCACACUGGGACUGAGAUACGGCCCAGACUCCUACGGGAGGCAGCAGUGGGGAAUAUUGCACAAUGGGCGGAAGCCUGAUGCAGCAACGCCGCGUGCGGGAUGACGGCCUUCGGGUUGUAAACCGCUUUCGCCUGUGACGAAGCGUGAGUGACGGUAAUGGGUAAAGAAGCACCGGCUAACUACGUG
rnacentral:rRNA from 1 species